AGAGCGAACGCUGGCGGCAGGCCUAACACAUGCAAGUCGAACGGACCCUUCGGGGUUAGUGGCGGACGGGUGAGUAACACGUGGGAACGUGCCUUUUGGUUCGGAAUAGCUCCUGGAAACGGGUGGUAAUGCCGAAUGUGCCCUUCGGGGGGAAAGAUUUAUCGCCAUUAGAGCGGCCCGCGUCUGAUUAGCUAGUUGGUGAGGUAAAGGCUCACCAAGGCUACGAUCAGUAGCUGGUCUGAGAGGAUGACCAGCCACAUUGGGACUGAGACACGGCCCAAACUCCUACGGGAGGCAGCAGUGGGGAAUCUUGCGCAAUGGGCGAAAGCCUGACGCAGCCAUGCCGCGUGAAUGAUGAAGGUCUUAGGAUUGUAAAAUUCUUCACCGGGACGAUAAUGACGGUACCGGAGAAGAAGCCCGCUAACUCGCGCCAGCAGCCGC
rnacentral:rRNA from 1 species